AAAGGAGUUUCUUACAGCUUUUAUUUCCUUUCUAAAUUUUGUUUAAUCCUAAUUUAGUCCUAAUCUAGUGAUCCAUUUUUCUCAUAACAGUAAGGAGAGGAUCAUAGAGAUGUCUGACUUCCUGUGUGUGUGUAACUGUGUAUGAACGAGACGGUGUCACAGCGUAGAAGCUGCCAAAUGUCAAAGCUGAACUCAUUGCUGUACUGAGAACAUCACAAACCAAUCACUGCUGUGGGAGGUACAUCGGUGCUUAAAAACAGGGCUCGUCAGAUAAAUACAAAGCAUUUCCGCCUGACUCUGGAUCACCGAGCACAUACCUGAGCUUGACACUUUAAAGGUGUGACACCACAAUGAAGAUCCUUCUGCAGUUCUUGGCCUUUCUCACCACCAUCCUCAAGACAUAUGGUAGGAAACACCCAUUACAGAUUCUUUUAAA